AGUGAACGCUGGCGGUAGGCCUAACACAUGCAAGUCGAACGACAGCACAGUAAGAGCUUGCUCUUACGGGUGGCGAGUGGCGGAUGGGUGCGGACUACAUAGUAAUCUACUUUUACGUGGGGGUUAACGUAGGGAAACUUACGCUAAUACCGCAUUCGUCCUCCGUGUGACAGCACGGGCGCUUCGGACCUUGCGCGAAUCAAUGAUGCGAUGUCGGAUUAGCUAGUUGGCGGGGUAAAGUCCCACCAAGGCGACGAACCGUAGCUGGUAUGAGAGGAUGAUCAAGCACACGGGAAGUGAGACACGGUCGAGACUUCGACGGUAGGCAGCAGUGGGGAAUAUUAGACGAGGGGCGCAAGCCGGAUCCAGCCAUACCGCGUGAGUGAAGAAGGACUGCGGGUUGGAAAGCCCUUUUGUUGGGAAAGAAAAGCAGCAGGUUAAUACCCCGCGGUUCUGACGGUACCCAAAGAAUAAGCACCGGCUAACUUCGUG
rnacentral:rRNA from 1 species